rnacentral:rRNA from 1 species
CCCUUAGAUGUCCUGGGCCGCACGCGCGCUACACUGACAUGUUCAACAAGCCUCCUAGUUCGACAGGAUUUGGGAAAUCUUUGAACGCAUGUCGUGAUAGGGAUAGAUCAUUGCAAUUAUUGAUCUUGAACGAGGAAUUCCUAGUAAACGCGAGUCAUCAGCUCGCAUUGAUUACGUCCCUGCCCUUUGUACACACCGCCCGUCGCACCUACCGAUUGAAUGUUUCGGUGAAGAUUCCGGAUAAGACUUUUUUGAUUUAUUUCAAUUUUGUCUUAAAAGCUAUCUAAACCUCAACAUUUAGAGGAAGGUGAAGUCGUAACA